rnacentral:lncRNA from 1 species
AAAAGCCAUUUUCUAUACAUGGCAUUAAACCGAUCAAAAUCUGUCAAGGUAGGGGUUUAACAACAGUCGUACACUCAUCAGUGAAAACCCAUUUGUUGAAAGCACGAAAACUUCAAAUCCCCUUCACAUUCUAAUUUUAAUACUACAUCAAAAGGAAGAACUAGAAACAAGGACGACUAUAUAGACAUGUACAAUUGAAGAAGAACAGAAACUCUGAUUACUAAUUACUUACUAUAAAAGUAUAACAACGAUUUAAUUUGAUUACAAUUGAGUUACUAUUUCAUUCCCUUCAAAAUAUUCUCUCACCAGAACUAUAUACUGUACAACACAAUGACAAAGCAUGGAAGAAAUCAACAUGAACUAAUAGUUCUUUGUAGGUUUCAUUCUCUCCAGCAGACAAGCAUUGUGAUGCACCUCCAGAAGAUAUAGAACCUUGCCCUUUGCUCCUUACCAAGCCUAGUGCAUCUCCUUCCAAAGGAUUUGAAGGGUUCACAGACAUGUCUAGUGCAGGAGCUGAUGUCUUCUUGCAUCAUAUCUCUCUCAAUGAAUAAAUAUUUCUUGUGAUGAUUGGUUUUGUUCUUUCUGAAGUUGAUGAUAUGUAGCUACAAAUUAAAUGCUUUGUGUUACUUUGGAGAAAGAGAGAAUAAGAAAAAAAAGGGAGAGGCAACUUGAUAGUAAGGUGUGGUGUGGAGAGGUGAAGUUUCCAAUUGUAUGGUUUGGUGGUGUGAUUGUGAGGGAAGUUUAUGCUUUAUAGGUGUGGUACACGAAGGAACGUACAAUGAUUUGAGCUUUGU